rnacentral:rRNA from 1 species
CUGCGGCCGAUUAGGUAGACGGUGGGGUAACGGCCCACCGUGCCGAUAAUCGGUACGGGUUGUGAGAGCAAGAACCCGGAGACGGUAUCUGAGACAAGAUACCGGGCCCUACGGGGCGCAGCAGGCGCGAAACCUUUACACUGCACGCCAGUGCGAUAAGGGGACCCCGAGUGCGAGGGCAUACAGUCCUCGCUUUUCGUGACCGUAAGAAGGUCUCAGAAUAAGAGCUGGGCAAGACCGGUGCCAGCCGCCGCGGUAAUACCGGCAGCUCGAGUGAUAGCCACUAUUAUUGGGCCUAAAGCGUCCGUAGCCGGCCGAACNGCAAGACCGGUGCCAGCCGCCGCGGUAAUACCGGCAGCUCGAGUGAUAGCCACUAUUAUUGGGCCUAAAGCGUCCGUAGCCGGCCGAACGGGUCCGUCGGGAAAUCCACCCGCUCAACAGGUGGACGUCCGGCGGAAACCAGUCGGCUUGGGGCCGGGAGACCAGAGAGGUACGUCCGGGGUAGGAGUGAAAUCCCGUAAUCCUGGACGGACCGCCGGUAGCGAAAGCGUCUCUGGAGAACGGACCCGACGGUGAGGGACGAAAGCUUGGGUCUCGAACCGGAUUAGAUACCCGGGUAGUCCAAGCUGUAAACGAUGCUCGCUAGGUGUGGCGUUGGCUACGAGCCAGCGCUGUGCCGUAGGGAAGCCGAGAAGCGAGCCGCCUGGGAAGUACGUCCGCAAGGAUGAAACUUAAAGGAAUUGGCGGGGGAGCACUACAACCGGAGGAGCCUGCGGUUUAAUUGGACUCAACGCCGGACAUCUCACCGGCACCGACAGUGUGCAGUGACAGUCAGUCUGAUGGGCUUACUUGAGCCACUGAGAGGAGGUGCAUGGCCGCCGUCAGCUCGUACCGUGAGGCGUCCUGUUAAGUCAGGCAACGAGCGAGACCCGCGUCC